UGGUCUAUAGUUCAACGGAUGAGAAUACUACGCUACGAACGUGGGGAUACAAGUUCGAAUCUUGUUAGACCAA
rnacentral:tRNA from 1 species